UCAAUACUCAUCCCUCACUCAAUUUACUGUUCAAAUAGAAAGAGGAGCAGAGCAAAAUCAAAUAGGAGGAGAAAAUUAUUAUCGAGUCGGCUGACAGUUUUGCAGAUUCACGUAAGGUACACAGCGACGACGAUACUGGCAUUGAUGCAGGAAGUGGCUCACUUUUUGAGAACAAAGGGAUACUGGUGGAUUGCAACAAGUGACUUUCAAACUUUAGUUUGCAGAGUCCACUCUUUUUGUUGAGGUUCAGGUCUGAAAUGCAAUUUUAGGGGUGCACAGAGGAAUAUUGAAUAUUUGAGGAAUUACUGUAUAACGUCAAAUUUCUUAUAUUCCAGCAGGAGAACAUAGGAAGUAGCUGGCCCUUCCCCUAUUUUUGUGUCUAAGCUAUGGAUUUGUUUCACUGAGCGGGAGGCAGAAGAGCAAUCUGGGCUUGAAAGGUUGUGAAAACAGUGGUUUCUUGAGCAGGAGAAGAUACGAAGUGAUUCUAUUGUCUGGCUUCUGUUUGUUCUAUCUCACUCUUUUUCAAUUUUGAUGUUUUCUGGUCACUAUUUCAGGUACCAAAGGGGGAUCAAAUAAGAGAUUUUCUUCACUCUGUACAACAGGAACUAGCACAAGAGUUUUGAGAAGUUCGAACUACCUCAGUGGAGAAUUUGCUAUAUGUAAAAGAAGAUCUUAUCAUUUUACAUGUAAGAUUAUUAUGGGACAGGUUUCUUCAUCACGCUCUCACCCAUCCAAUGAAGGCCAGAGACCAUCCCAUGUUCAUGCGCCCGACACAGAAAGGCAGAGUACAAAUACCUCCCAAAGACAAGGAAGACAAGGAAUGAGUUUUGCACAAGCUAUUUCAUCGCAGUCUCACCCAUCUGAGGAAGAUCAGGGACGCAACCGUCUUCAUACACUUGAGGCUGAAAGACAGCGUAGAAAUAAUCGUCAAAGAGAGAGGCGACAGUCAUUAAGUUCUUCACAACGAGCAGAAAGUUUAGCCCGAAGACGUGCUAAUUACCACUUACGGCGGCAGAUGAUAAACACAAGUGUGGAGGACAGAAGUAUGGCAAAUCAAUUAGGAGCAAUGGCCGGUAACUUUCUACUUUGAGUCUUACAAAAGACAAACAUCUUCAGCGGUAAUGUAUAACUAUUUGGAAUAGAGUCUUCCAAGGAUAUAUUCUUAUAUAUACCUGUGUUAAAAAAACAGAAG